GGUGCCAUGGAGAUGGGUCUCUCUACACUCAUCAUCAAAUCACUAUUUAGAACUCAUCAUUCAAAGCUAAAGGUGACCAUAAAACUAGAUUGUACUAUGCUCAACACAAACAUACAGAAUCAUACAACAAAACAGCUCUUUCAGGCAUUUCGUCGAACACCUUCCGUUCACUAUAUAAAUAUUUCACUCAAACUACAAUUCAAAUCAAACUUCCUUCGAAAAUAUAUAUCCAAACAAGUUUCCAGAUCAAUUUCACGAAAUUUCCAUGGAAGAAAAAAUACCUUUGAGUCUCUCGUCGAUGGCCA